rnacentral:rRNA from 1 species
UUGAAGAGUUUGAUCAUGGCUCAGAUUGAACGCUGGCGGCAGGCCUAACACAUGCAAGUCGAACGGUAACAGGAAGCAGCUUGCUGCUUUGCUGACGAGUGGCGGACGGGUGAGUAAUGUCUGGGAAACUGCCUGAUGGAGGGGGAUAACUACUGGAAACGGUAGCUAAUACCGCAUAACGUCGCAAGACCAAAGAGGGGGACCUUCGGGCCUCUUGCCAUCGGAUGUGCCCAGAUGGGAUUAGCUAGUAGGUGGGGUAACGGCUCACCUAGGCGACGAUCCCUAGCUGGUCUGAGAGGAUGACCAGCCACACUGGAACUGAGACACGGUCCAGACUCCUACGGGAGGCAGCAGUGGGGAAUAUUGCACAAUGGGCGCAAGCCUGAUGCAGCCAUGCCGCGUGUAUGAAGAAGGCCUUCGGGUUGUAAAGUACUUUCAGCGGGGAGGAAGGGAGUAAAGUUAAUACCUUUGCUCAUUGACGUUACCCGCAGAAGAAGCACCGGCUAACUCCGUGCCAGCAGCCGCGGUAAUACGGAGGGUGCAAGCGUUAAUCGGAAUUACUGGGCGUAAAGCGCACGCAGGCGGUUUGUUAAGUCAGAUGUGAAAUCCCCGGGCUCAACCUGGGAACUGCAUCUGAUACUGGCAAGCUUGAGUCUCGUAGAGGGGGGUAGAAUUCCAGGUGUAGCGGUGAAAUGCGUAGAGAUCUGGAGGAAUACCGGUGGCGAAGGCGGCCCCCUGGACGAAGACUGACGCUCAGGUGCGAAAGCGUGGGGAGCAAACAGGAUUAGAUACCCUGGUAGUCCACGCCGUAAACGAUGUCGACUUGGAGGUUGUGCCCUUGAGGCGUGGCUUCCGGAGCUAACGCGUUAAGUCGACCGCACGGGAGUACGGCCGCAAGGUUAAAACUCAAAUGAAUUGACGGGGCCCGCACAAGCGGUGGAGCAUGUGGUUUAAUUCGAUGCAACGCGAAGAACCUUACGGUCUUGACAUCCACGGAAGUUUUCAGAGAUGAGAAUGUGCCUUCGGGAACCGUGAGACAGGUGCUGCAUGGCUGUCGUCAGCUCGUGUUGUGAAAUGUUGGGUUAAGUCCCGCAACGAGCGCAACCCUUAUCCUUUGUUGCCAGCGGUCCGGCCGGGAACUCAAAGGAGACUGCCAGUGAUAAACUGGAGGAAGGUGGGGAUGACGUCAAGUCAUCAUGGCCCUUACGACCAGGGCUACACACGUGCUACAAUGGCGCAUACAAAGAGAAGCGACCUCGCGAGAGCAAGCGGACCUCAUAAAGUGCGUCGUAGUCCGGAUUGGAGUCUGCAACUCGACUCCAUGAAGUCGGAAUCGCUAGUAAUCGUGGAUCAGAAUGCCACGGUGAAUACGUUCCCGGCCUUGUACACACCGCCCGUCACACCAUGGGAGUGGGUUGCAAAAGAAGUAGGUAGCUUAACCUUCGGGAGGGCGCUUACCACUUUGUGAUUCAUGACUGGGGUGAAGUCGUAACAAGGUAACCGUAGGGGAACCUGCGGUUGGAUCACCUCCUU